UACGUAGGGGGCAAGCGUUGUCCGGAAUCAUUGGGCGUAAAGAGCGCGUAGGCGGUCCGGUAAGUCCGCUCUGAAAGUCCGGGGCUCAACCCCGGGAGGCGGGCGGAUACUGUCGGGCUAGAGUCCGGAAGAGGCGAGUGGAAUUCCUGGUGAGCGGUGAAAUGCGCAGAUAUCAGGAGGAACACCAAUGGCGAAGGCAGCUCGCUGGGACGGUACUGACGCUGAGGCGACGAAAGCGUGGGGAGCAAACAGG
rnacentral:rRNA from 1 species